rnacentral:rRNA from 1 species
ACGCUGGCGGCACGCCUAACACAUGCAAGUCGAACGAAGUAGCAAUACUUAGUGGCAGACGGGUGAGUAACAUGUGGGUAUCUACCCUUUGGCCUGGAAUAACACGAGGAAACUUGUGCUAAUACCGGAUAAGUCUUUACGGAGAAAGCUUUAUGCACCAUUGGAUGAGCCCGCACUUGAUUAGUUUGUUGGUAGGGUAAUGGCCUACCAAGACUGUGAUCAAUAGCUGAUUUGAGAGGAUGAUCAGCCACAUUGGGACUGAGACACGGCCCAAACUCCUACGGGAGGCAGCAGUGGGGAAUCUUGCACAAUGGAGGAAACUCUGAUGCAGCGAUGCCGCGUGAGUGAAGAAGGCCCUUGGGUUGUAAAGCUCUUUCGUCGGGGAAGAAAAUGACUGUACCCGAAUAAGAAGGUCCGGCUAACUUCGUGCCAGCAGCCGCGGUAAUACGAAGGGACCUAGCGUAGUUCGGAAUUACUGGGCUUAAAGAGUUCGUAGGUGGUUGAAAAAGUUGGUGGUGAAAUCCCAGAGCUUAACUCUGGAACUGCCAUCAAAACUUUUCAGCUAGAGUUUGAUAGAGGAAAGCAGAAUUUCUAGUGUAGAGGUGAAAUUCGUAGAUAUUAGAAAGAAUACCAAUUGCGAAGGCAGCUUUCUGGAUCAUUACUGACACUGAGGAACGAAAGCAUGGGUAGCGAAGAGGAUUAGAUACCCUCGUAGUCCAUGCCGUAAACGAUGUGUGUUAGACGUUGGAAAUUUAUUUUCAGUGUCGCAGCGAAAGCGAUAAACACACCGCCUGGGGAGUACG